GGGCCUCGGAAACUGACGCGCGCUCCGGGGUUCACCGCGCCAGCCGGGGUGGAUGGGUCCGCACGUGUUAUAUUCCAACUCGAGAGGAUAAGGAUGGCAAAAGCUGUCAUUGACUCGGUACCUUCGAUGGAGUGGGACAUGUGUUGUUCUCUGCACGUGUUCCCUUAUUCCCAAGGGCUGGCUGCUUCUCGAACCAUGAAUUUUGUCUCACGGCCUCCCGAUUCCUUGUCUCAAAAACAUUCCGCAACAGCUCUGAGUGCUACGAACCCGGCUGGGUCAUCUGCUGCUGCCGGCUUUCAGACAUUGUUCCGAACAUUUUCAUACUGGAAGGCUGGUGAUGUCCCAAGACAGUGAGAGUGUAGUUUUCUACUGCCUAAUAUUUGGAAUUGGAUCCAAGAAGAGAAGCGUUCCUGUUGAUCACCCGACAGUCACUCAUAGCCCCCUAGCCCAGGAGAGACCGCUUCUGAGAAAGAACUGAGCCGAGUAGCUGCGAGCAGGUCUUUGUCGCCGCUCCAAAUGGCAGUGGGUGAUACACUAACACAAUCGAUUCGGAACGAUUCGGGGUGAAAAAAAAAAUAUCCUGAAGCUGGAGGCCCUGGAGAUGGGGUCGGCAAAUAUCUUCCCAGCUCUGCCCAUUAGUCCUUCAAGAGCCAUCCCCUCAGUCCUACCGCGCAGCCCCUCCCUCGUCUACACCCAAAAGCCAGGCCUCGACCCUGCUGCCCCGCCCCCUCUUUCUUCACACCGUCCAAUACAUUCUCUCACCGAACCCCUUCACAGUUGUGACUUUCUGACCACCGGGACUUCGGGGCCGUACGGCUCCUCAGUCCCGAUUCCCGCCCCCCACCGCCACUCUAUGACCCCUGACCCCCUCCUCCAGCCUGCUCUUACUGUCCAGAUAAUGUUCCAAAUACAUCCCCGCAGCCAUCUUGAAGCAAAACAAAGCAACUUCCGAUCCGCCCCGGAAGUGACUGAAUCGCAACAGGCGCUGAAGCUAUUAUCCUUGGGUUGGAGCCUUUCCGCCCUUAAAAGAAGAGCUUCCGCCCUCACUAAAUUAUCCGCUGGGACACAUCCGCCCGACGUUGAUGCUUUCCCUUUUGCGUAGGUAGCCGGGGCCGCCCGUACUGAGGUACCUGGAGGCAGCUUUAGCCCGCUUCCGCCCUUACUGAGGCCCCAGUACGCGACCGAGGCAGGCAUGACGUCACUGCAGGUCGCCAUUUUGCAUUACCUAUCAAACUUUUUUUCCCUCCAAAAAAGGCGAUGUGCGGUAAUGCGAGGGAAAAAAAUCCUUGUCUCUUUAGGAUUGUAUUCCAUAAAUAUCCCUUUUCAGCGUCUGGAGACUCUUUUUUCCUUUUUGCCGGGUAUGAGUCUAGUGACCAGAGCAGGUCCCGGCUGAAUCCAGACUUUCUUCAAGGUAGCUAGUUUCUUAACGAAGUUGGGGAGGCAUAGUUGGUGUUGUGAGAUUUAAACCCUCCGCCUUUCUGUUCACUCACACGCACAUCAGCUCUCCUGGAUUAUUAUUUUUUUUUAUAAUCUCUAUUUACUAAGAGUUACACAAUAAAGCUAUAAUUCUCCACACCUCUUGUCCGGAUUCAUGUCCUUUUAUACUUGAAUACAUAUACACA